rnacentral:rRNA from 1 species
GACGAACGCUAGCGGCAGGCCUAACACAUGCAAGUCGAGGGGUAGCAGGAUUAAGCUUGCUUAAAUGCUGACGACCGGCGCACGGGUGCGUAACGCGUAUGCAACCUACCUUAUACUGGGGUAUAGCCCGGAGAAAUUCGGAUUAAUCCCCCAUAGUACUAAUGAAUCGCAUGGUUUAUUAGUUAAAGCAUUGCGGUAUAAGAUGGGCAUGCGUCCUAUUAGCUAGAUGGUGAGGUAACGGCUCACCAUGGCUACGAUAGGUAGGGGGCCUGAGAGGGUGGUCCCCCACACUGGUACUGAGACACGGACCAGACUCCUACGGGAGGCAGCAGUGAGGAAUAUUGGUCAAUGGGCGCAAGCCUGAACCAGCCAUGCCGCGUGCAGGAAGAAUGCCCUAUGGGUUGUAAACUGCUUUUAUUUGGGAAUAAACCUCUUUACGUGUAGAGAGCUGAAGGUACCAAAUGAAUAAGCACCGGCUAACUCCGUGCCAGCAGCCGCGGUAA